CAUUACACCACUCCAGCCUCGCUGGGUAUUGGGCGUCUUCGCGGGGGAGCAAUCCCCCGCGCGCCUCAAAGUCUCCGGCUGAGCGGUUCCGUCUUCGCAGCGUUGUGGCAUCACGUCUCGCUCUGAAGUCGGUCCCUCACGGCCGUUAAAUCACUUAACAGGUUGACCUCGGAUCGGGUAGGGAUACCCGCUGAACUUAA
rnacentral:misc_RNA from 1 species